UAUUGACCAAACAGUGUUGUAAUUAAUAUAGUUUCUGUGUGCUUAUUCGGGUCUGGGCUGCCAGCAAACGAGCGAGCAGUCUUGGUUUACAUGCAGUGUUAGAUUUGCAGUCUGUGUUUGACUUUUCUGAGCAUCUGUAAAUGAGACAGUGUUUCAAAUAAUAAUAUUCACUACAACAUGGACAUAAAACAGAUUUUACAUAUGUUUGUCAUUAUCCUACCAAUUUCUUGAGUUUAUUAGCUGUAGAAGGCUCUAUUGUGAGUUUCUGUAAUGUUCUCUGUAGUGGGAAUCUGUCAUCUGCACACAAGGACAACCAUUUCUUCCUUUCUAAUGCCUGUGUCUGUAUGUUCAUUUCUUUUCCCACUGAGGACUUAUCCAGAUGUCCUAGUCACCGUGCUAGAUCACAGGUUGGGAAACAGACAAUCUUUCCUGGACUUGAUCUCAGGAGAAUGCAGCCAGUCUUUCACACUGAGGUCUAAUCAUUCGUGUGGGGCAGGGUUUCUGAAGGAUUUCUGUGUUGCACAUAGAACUUAGUUGAUCAAUUCUUGCCUUUCCUGUUCAGGUUGUGUUUUGUUAUCUCCCCCUGGGCUUUUGUUAUCUCCCCCUGGGUUUCUGAAGAGAAAUUAGCUGCCAUUCGAUUUGCUCCUCUUUCCACUAGUAAUGUCUGGUGUCUCCCCAGGGGUUUAGGAUGUCUUGGUAGGGAUCUGUCCUGUAGAGGAAGCUUGGCACAGUGUGACCAGGGUAGAAGGUGCCCACUUCCCUACACAGCUGGAGUGAGAGAGAGGACAGUAUUUUCCAGUGCCCUUGGCUAGAAUUAAGGGGCUGGGGUCUGGAAGUAUUCUUCCCUUUCUCCCCUCCUCUUCCUUUACCUUUCCCUCCCCUCUCCUCCCCUCUCCUCACCCCUCUCUCUUCCCUCUUCUCUCUUCUCAUCUCUCUAUCCUUCUCCUCCCCCUCCUCCUCCCCCUUCCAUCCUCUCUUCCCCUAUGUGGAUAUGGGAGGGGCUCACAAAGUCGCAUCCCUAGCUUGGAAGCUGUUGUUGGUAGUUGGUGGCUGCUUGAGGAGGAAGAGAAUCAGUUUUAUAUAGAAAUAUUUGAAAUAAUAUGUUCACUUCUAAAAUAAUCAUAUUCUACUUUCUUUUUCUUCUUUUUUAUUUUUUUCUACUUUCUUUUUCUUAUGUAAUUUUCAGACAGUUCUAUUUUCUGGAAAUAACACAUUUUAUCUGAGUUUUCAAAUGUGCAAACAAAGUUGUACAAAACAAAUUCUUCUUUUUAUUAAUGACUGUUUCUUAGAAUUUUAACUAAAUUAUGGAAUGAAUAGUAUGGACCAGGCUCCCUCAGUAAAUUUCUUCCCCCUUAGGCUGGUCAGGGUUGGAUUCAUUUAAAGAAGAGACACUCUUUACCCUGCCCAGAAAACUAACAGACAAUUUUGGGUCAUUGCAUCAAAUUAAUUUUCAUCUAUUUUCUGCAACUUUGUUCUAAGAUAAACCUACGGCCAAAAUGAAGAGGAAGAAAGACCCUUCUGCAUCCUUACAACAUUUCUGUAACCGGGCUGUUUCCUGCAUUAGAAAUGGAAAAGGAACUCUUCCUGCUUCUUAGAGACGACAGAGUCAUCCAAUGCAUGACGUUGACAUGCCAGUCCUCCUUCCUGCCCGAAUCUUGUGUUCUGCUGUCAUUUCAUGACCUUGCUUGACUUUCAACUACAAGUGGCUUUGGCUAAUUUAAGUUUAAAGAAGCGGGGUGACUCUCUUCACAAAAUGCACACGUCUAAUCUUCGAAGGAAUAUGCCAGGGCUGCUUCAUGAACUGGGCAUCAAGAGCACCUACAGUGUCCUCUAGGAUCAAUUGUCAGAGCUCAGCUGAGGAAGCUGAGCUAAUGCAGUUGAAUUCUCAGGAGUCAGACCAGCCAAUAAGUGCAACCAAUGAAGAAUCAAACAGUUAGAUCUCCAGCCACUUCUUGUGAUGGAACAAGGCUGUUUCUACUCUGUCUCUUUCAUGGACCUGCACGUUAAGUCUUGGGUCAAGUCCAUGUAUCAGGUACCAGCAUGGUACCAGACAUCCUGAGGUCUUUGGGGGAAGUAUAAGGAUGGACAUGUUGUCUUCUGGACCACUGGAUAAUGAUGAAACUUUACCAUUCGAGAAACUUUAUACAUGGAGGGCCUACGGUACAGGCAAAGUCCUAUGUAUAAUAAACCCUCUUGCAGUUCAGGGAAACAUAUGACUAUGUAGUUGUGAUAACCAGGAAGUGUGAACUGAUUGGCCUAUGUAAUCUUGAGGGCUUGGUUUCUUUCUUCAGUUGCUAUUAACAUUGUGUGAGAUUAUGGGAACCAUCAGGAGACUGUAUCACACGGGAGACACUGCAAGGCUAGAGGAUGUAAGGGGGCCAGGCAUUUCUGAGAUCAUGGGAACCAUCGGGAGACUGUAUCACACGGGAGACACUGCAGCGCUAGAGAACAUCAGAGGGGCCAGGCAUUCCACACUCGAUCAGUGAGGAGGCUGGGCAACCCUGAAAAGCCUGUGUAGCUGCUCAUGGUUCUCGUGAGGCACAUUAAGACCCCUACCUGUUUGUCUUGUUAGAGCCACCACUUAACUUUAGUAGUGCUGUGUUGGCUCUGGUCCCAAAAGAACAUAACUGAGCCCAUCUUGUCAAUUUACUAAUCUAAGCAAACAGUGAGGAGAGAGCCUCUUAAAAAUCCUCUGUAAAUAAAAUAUGGGUGGCUAUAUUGAA